GAAAUUCUUUCAGGGAUUGUGGACAUUUUUUUUAGGUUUUGCCUUUGUUUGAAUUUCUUCCAGUAUUUCUUCUGUAGCUUGGGUUUUUCCUCCUUAAAAAUUCUCGAGGUUCACAGUCUUUUUUUUUGUUUGUUUGUUUGUUUUGUCUUGUUUUUGGAAGGAUGUUUAGGCUCCUGUGCAUAGUUAGCCAUCUCCAUGUAUGUUUUUCCUUCCCUUUUUAGUCAAAAAUCUGAGUGAUCUGGGCAGGCUCUGUGUAUGGAGUUAAGGAGCAAGGGUUUUGCCUGAGGCAAGCUCUCUAAUCUCCACAGUUCUUUGCAGCUCUUCUCUGUGCUACCUUCCCAGGGGUGUCCAAGGUUUGCGCUCCCCUGCCGGCCUGGGUUUCCUGUCUAGCUGCUUUCAGGGGUAGGUCUCCUGCGGUCCUAGUCAGCUCCCAAGGACCUAGAGGAGCCCUUUGCUCACUCUAGCAGUGCCCCUCACUCGCUCGCUGGUUCUGGCCUGAGCUGACUCUGGUUCUGGCUCUGUAGGUGGGGUUGGGGAGGGUGGAUUGGCUCCCAUUUGGUUGGAAGAUUUUUCACCCUCUUAUAGUUUGGAAAUGCCCCAAUCCAAUGUACUUUCAAUGCUGCACCCUACUGUAUAGUUUCUCCAUUCUUCUGAAAAUGAUUUUUAAGAUCUGUUGAGCUGGUCUUUGUCGGUGUGUGCUGAGGAGAGGAAGUGUCCCACGUCUAGACUGCCUCCAUGCUUACCUGGAAUUCCAGAAGAGGAGCUGAAGUUUUAUCAAAUAAAGUGGCAGAAAGUCCAAUACUUGCUUCAGUUUUCCUCUCCACAUAUUGAAAAGCAAAACAAACUUCAGAAGAGGGACAGCAUAAUAAAAGAGAAAGGAGAAUAAACAGAAGAAAACACAAUUGAGGACUAUAACUGAGAGCCUGAGAGGUCACACUAGAAAGAAACCAAAAAGUUGGGGCAAAAGAUGGUAAGAAAAUGGAGAAGCCAUUGAAAAUCCAAGAUGGGUGGAAGCAGGGG
rnacentral:lncRNA from 1 species